rnacentral:misc_RNA from 1 species
UCGCACGCUAGGCGAGGGCUUUGAAUGGGGAGGCUGAGAGCGAAAAAGAGAAAAAUGACUCAAGACUACCACCCGAUUUUGGUCAACCUCGAGCCUGUCGAUCAAGGAACCCGAGACAUCGUUCUUUGCAAAAAUGAGUUCAAGAUAGGCAGAGGAUUGAAUAAUGACGAGGUCAUAUCAAACUUGUCAAUAUCACGCAGCCAGUGCGUCCUGCGUAGAGACGAUAAAGGCAACUGGACGAUAACAGAUUUAAGCUCCUGUUGUACAUUUCUAAAUGGGGAACCUCUCGGACGAGGUGUCACCAGAGAGAUUCGUAUAGGAGAUACCGUACAGUUUAGCCCUAUGGUCGAGUAUAAAUAUGUGUUCACUGUCGAUGCCAAGGAAGUUAACAGGGAACUGAAGAAACGUCGAGCCGACAAACAAGUGUUCAACCACAUUCUAUUGGAACAGAAGACAUUCUUAGAAACAAAUCAGGUACAACGAAAGGAGCUGGAAAACAAAUUGGAAGCCGAACAGAAGAAACAGCAAGAACUGAAACUUAAGCUGAAGGAACUGUUGGAAAGUCAGGAUGUUGGGAGUGACGAUAAUCACCAGAGAAUCGAUACCUUAAAGCGAAACAUUGAAGCUGGUAAUAUUGCUGAAUCCCUUCUACGAAAGUCAUAUUAUGAGCUACUUGAGAAAUUAAAGGAUGAAAGGCUAAAGUUUGAAGCUCGAUUGAACGACGAAAAACAAAAAUGGCAAGAAGCUCUUGAUUCAAGCAAGCAAGAGCAAGCUGCUCUCGAGACCAAUAUGAAGAAGCAGAUGGAAAGCUGGAGAGCGGAACAGGAAGUAGAAUGGAAGAAAGUCAUGGAAAACUCUAUCAAGGAAGAAAAAACGAUACAGAGCAAGCUACUCGAUGAAAAACUGUUACUUGAACAAAAGUUGAAAGAGAUGGAAGAGGCACUCAGGGAAAGCGAAGCAAAGGCAUCGAUGUUGCUUACACAAAAUGAUACCGAUGAUUCAAAAGCUUCAUUGGAUGAUCUUGGCGUUGUCAUAGUCGACAUGGUAGGAACGGACUCACAAAAGGACUUACAAAUUCUGGGUACCAUAGAUCUAACCGUUGAUAGUCCAAGUCCUUCAAGUUCUGAAAUUGGCGCAGGAGAAAAAGUCUUUGACAAAGUUGGCGACAUCAUGGAUGAACAAUUAACGUGCAGCAUUUGCUCGGAACUGUUCAUUAGAGCAAUGACAUUAAACUGCACGCAUACUUUUUGCCAAUAUUGUAUCAGCUCUUGGAUGAAAAAGAGGAAGGAGUGCCCAGUGUGUAGAUGCACAGUUACCUCCUCAACCAGAUCACUUGUGUUGGAUAAUUUCAUUGAAGGAAUGUUGAAUAAUAUGCCAAGUCGUUACAAGAUUCGAAGAGAUGAGGUUCUCGACGAACGGAGAGCCAAAGAAGAACAAGGAGCACGAAGCAGUGUCCGUUGAAAGGACACGCGCCAACAUUAUUCAUAAAGCGAAUGAAGGAGAAAUCUUGAAAUUGACAUCAUUGUAAUGCUCCCGUCUUCACAUAUUUACUCCGUUGGAGCCCCUAUCCUGUGAUGACGCGUACGCUGGUUAAUUAGCUCGAGAAAUUGCUGUUAAUUAUUUGCUUACCUCCAACAUAACCAGAUGCUAGAGUUUAAGGUUUGUCACAGCUGCGGCGAACCUUUUGAAGCUAGGGACCCUAGUAGAUGACCCUAUAGUAUCAGCUCUUUAAGUCUACAAGCCUAAGAGCUAUUUUUUAAUAUCUUACAAGUAGCUGUAUCGAUGUAAUUUAGAGGAAUUAUACAUAGCACGUUCGUUCUUUUA